CCUACGGGUGGCAGCAGUGAGGAAUAUUGGUCAAUGGACGAGAGUCUGAACCAGUCAAGUAGCGUGAAGGAUGACUGCCCUAUGGGUUGUAAACUUCUUUUAUAUGGGAAUAAAAUGUUCCACGUGUGGGAUUUUGUAUGUACCAUAUGAAUAAGGAUCGGCUAACUCCGUGCCAGCAGCCGCGGUAAUACGGAGGAUCCGAGCGUUAUCCGGAUUUAUUGGGUUUAAAGGGAGCGUAGGUGGAUUGUUAAGUCAGUUGUGAAAGUGUGCGGCUCAACCGUAAAAUUGCAGUUGAAACUGGCAGUCUUGAGUACAGUAGAGGUGGGCGGAAUUCGUGGUGUAGCGGUGAAAUGCUUAGAUAUCACGAAGAACUCCGAUUGCGAAGGCAGUUCACUGGACUGCAACUGACACUGAGGCUCGAAAGUGUGGGUAUCAAACAGGAUUAGAUACCCUUGUAGUC
rnacentral:rRNA from 1 species